AGCAGCCGGGCUUUUUGGCUCCCAAACGGGCCCCGAGUCAGCCGGUGUGGGGGCCAAAAGCGGAAGCCAGCUUGGCUGGUUUGGCAGGCGGGUGGGAGGGUCUUGGGGUCUGCGGGGGGAAGCAGGGGGUGGGCAGGGUGCGUGGACCCUCCCCAGAGAUGGGGGUCUGGUUGUGUCGGACGCCGAAGUUCGGGAGGCCGGCGCGCAGCAGGCCGAACUCAACCUCUGCGAUGGUCUGUGGGGGGAAAGGCGCUUUUCAGACCCCACGUGCCCUCUUUGAGUCCAGCUCUUCUUUCUGCGCUGCUCAGAAUAGUCGUUAAGUAAUUAAUCGCACAAACUAACGAAUAUUUAUAGGGUGUGUAACUCUGAUGUUUAAUCCUAAUGCUCCAGUUUUGACUGCAGUUGAUAUACAACCUUAUCGAAAGCCCAGGCCGUUGCACAAAGCUGGAGCUUGUGAGGAGAAGCAGCUGAAAUCAGCCGGAGCUUCAGUGCGGAGCUGGGGCUUCAGUGAGCCAGAACUGUAGCAAGCGGGAGCUGGAACGAGGCGGGGUGUCCGCUGUCCGGAGCGUGCAUUAGCCAGAGGCAAAAGUACCUGCGGCUGUAACGAGCAGGAGCCGCGAUUAGCUGGAGCGUCUUUUCGCUGGAGCGUCUGUCGGCCGGACCGCGCUCCCAGCGCAGGCAGGGCUGUCUGCAGCGAGCAGCUCCGAGCAGCAGGGAGGUGAGUUGUCCUUCUGCCAGCGGGGAGCCCGGCCUCUCCCCUCGGGGAUGCAAUCCACGCCACGCUCCUCUCUCUGGGUGGAGGGUCUCUCCCGGGCCGUUCCCGCAGGCAGAAGCGAGGUGGGGGUCCCCCGGCUCUCCUGGGGCAGCCCCCCCCGGCGAGGGGGCACGGGCGAGGUGUCGUCGUCCCCUCGGUACCGGGCAAAGGGGAGAGAAACCGGCCGGUGGGAGUUCCUGGGGUGCAGAGCCCUUCCGGCAGCAUCCUCCCCUGUCUUUUCACCGUUGGCUGGGUGUGACAAGCAGGUUCAUUUCUUUGUCUCCUCUUUUCCCAGUGUCACCUUCCGCGUCACACGAAGAAAAUCCUGCGUGGUUAAUUCCGCUUGCUGCUCAGCUGGAUGUCAGCUGGCACCGUUUUGCCGUGGUUGCCCUUUCUUCUGCCAUGACAAUACGAGACAGAUGGAAAGAAUCCAUAGCGCUCUGCAAGUACAAGCUUUAUUCACCAAACGAGCAAGAUGCAAAGCAGCAGCAGCAGCGCAAGGGCUGUAGCUGUUGCGGUGGAUCCGUAAGCGUAGAUUCUGAUUGUGUACGACCUCGUCCCGCAGCCUCCCAGGGUUAUCUCCCUGCAGCAGUGCUUGUAAGGAAGGGAGGAGGCGUUUUCCAACCCCGGCAAGAGUGUUUACUUGUAUGCUAAGAAGGUGUUCAAAACGGUAUCCAUUAGCCUAAGUGCUGAUUUUAAGUGUUCAAAUCGCUCUUAACUUUUAAAGGAGGUGGUGUAUUUCGAGCUGACCUGUUUACCUGGAAUCCCCCUUUAGCUCAGCGACUCUUCUUGUGCACCCCCAGCCUCCGCUGGCAGAGAAGCUGGAAAGUCCUUGACUUAGUAUAAACACUGCUUAGCAGCA